GGAACUCAUUCAAAUCCCUGCUACCCUCAAGAUGUGACCGCUGGCUCUGCUCCGACACCGACAACUGCGUGAGCACGCUGACCCUGUUACCUUGGCCGCGCUUUGUUCCGCCAUUUUUGGUUCCCGUCUCUUCCCUGAGAACCUGCUCCCCAAGUGAGCCCCGCGCAGACUCAUUCCCCGCCGGCCGAGGAGCCAAUCAGGUGGUGGCGGCGGCGCUCGUGCACGUGCACCGGUUGCCAACGAUCGCGGCGGUUUAAAGGAGAACCGCGAGACGGGGUUGUGAGGUCACGCGCACUGUUUCGGUGCACCCAUCGGACAAGGACCGUGUGGCGACACAAAAAACUACAGUUGCUGGUUUACUACAACAACAAAAAAUAGGCAAGAGUGAUGAUCUCUCACCAUCAAUACCGUAUAUGUUCACGAUUGACAUGGAAUUCAUCUUAUCUAUAGAAACACUGGCUCAGAAGAUCACAGAAGUUGAGCAUCCUACUGCAAAUGACCCACCUCCUGACAUUCUAAAGCCUUUUCAUCAAUAAAGCACAAGUCAGGAGUGUGACAGAAUACUCCCCACUAAUGGAUGUGUGCAGCUCCAGCACUCAAGCAGCUCAACACUAUUCUGGACAAAGCAGUCCACUUAUUGAUAUCCCAUCGACCAUCCUAAAUGUUAAUUCCUUUCUCCAUCAGUUAACAGUGGUUGCCAUUAUAUCCUAGUGGUAUAAUAAAAAAACAUUGUAAUACUCAC